UUAGGAUGAAUCUCCACAUUAAAAUCAAUUAAGUAAUUAGGAUGAAUCUCCACAAGGGUAUCCCACAAAUAAAGUGGAAUACUUAGCAAGCUACCUUUUCCGGGAGUAUGUGAACCCUUACAAAAUUCAGCAAACAGGUCAGAAUACCAAAUCAGGGUGCAAUCGAGAAUUGCACCAAACAAAAGGAAUCACAACAGUACUGAUGUCAGGUAAACAAUGCAUGGUG
rnacentral:lncRNA from 1 species